AUUGAACGCUGGCGGCAGGCUUAACACGUGCAAGUCGAGCGGGGUGAUGGUGCUUGCACUAUCACUUAGCGGCGGACGGGUGAGUAAUGCUUAGGAAUCUGCCUAUUAGUGGGGGACAACAUCUCGAACGGGAUGCUAAUACCGCAUACGUCCUACGGGAGAAAGCAGGGGAUCACUAGUGACAUGGCGCUAAUAGAUGAGCCUAAGUCGGAUUAGCUAGUUGGUGGGGUAAAGGCCUACCAAGGCGACGAUCUGUAGCGGGUCUGAGAGGAUGAUCCGCCACACUGGGACUGAGACACGGCCCAGACUCCUACGGGAGGCAGCAGUGGGGAAUAUUGGACAAUGGGGGGAACCCUGAUCCAGCCAUGCCGCGUGUGUGAAGAAGGCCUUAUGGUUGUAAAGCACUUUAAGCGAGGAGGAGGCUCUUUUGGUUAAUACCCAAGAUGAGUGGACGUUACUCGCAGAAUAAGCACCGGUUAACUCUGUGCCAGCCGCCGCAGUAA
rnacentral:rRNA from 1 species